rnacentral:rRNA from 1 species
UGAGUAACUGCGCUCCUGAGCUGUUGUACCGGUUUUCCAUGGUUUGCUUUAAUCGGCAGGCUGUGGUGGCUGGUGUGUUUACCUUGAAUAAAUCAAAAUGCUCAAGAUAGGCGUCUCGCCUGAAUGACAGUGCAUGGAAUAAUGGAAUAAGACUUCGGUUUAUUCUGUUGGUCUUGGAACCGAUGUAAUGGUUAAGAGGGACUGACGGGGGCAUUUGUAUCGAUGCGUGAGAGGUGAAAUUCUUGGACCGCAUCGAGACAAACUACUGCGAAAGCAUUUGCCAAGAAUGUCUUCAUUAAUCAAGAACGAAAGUCAGAGGAUCGAAGGCGAUUAGAUACCGCCCUAGUUCUGACCGUAAACGAUGCCAACUAGCGAUCAGGCGGUGGCUAUUAAACCCUGCCUGGGAGCUUCCCGGAAACGAAAGUCUUCGGGUUCCGGGGGUAGUAUGGUUGCAAAGCUGAAACUUAAAGGAAUUGACGGAAGGGCACCACCAGGAGUGGAGCCUGCGGCUUAAUUUGACUCAACACGGGAAAACUCACCCGGCCCGGACACUGUAAUGAUUGACAGAUUGAGAGUUCUUUCUUGAUUCGGUGGUUGGUGGUGCAUGGCCGUUCUUAGUUGGUGGAGUGAUUUGUCUGGUUUAUUCCGAUAACGAACGAGACUCUAACCUGCUAAAUAGUUCUGCAGUAGCUUCGCUGCAGCAACUUCUUAGAGGGAUCAGUGG